GUUUAAAGGCCCAAGUACACUGCAUGCGUGAUCGUUGCGGUUCCGGUCCAGUUCAGUGUUGCCUGCGUGCCACGCAGUCCGUCAAAAACAGGCAAAUCAUACCGGCUGCUGCACGGCUGCGGUCCGCCAACCUCGUCCCCCCGUGCGAGGGGGCCGCUGGCGUCGGGAGCCUUGUCCACAAGCCAGUCGGGCAGCCACCACUGAAGGAACAACAGGAAAAGGAAGUCCAAAACUGCCACGAAGGCAAAGAUGGAGCCGGCCACAGGGCCGCAGUGAGUCCUGAGCCUUCGAAGGCGGCGGUCCAGCGGAAGCACCUCCUCGCCACAUACUCUGUCAUACACCUAAGAGGAAAACAUUUAACUUUGAGUUUGGCUUGAAAACAUGGCGGAAUUUGCUCAACAGUGUCAUCAAGAGGUUCCGCACCCGUGCGUGAAUGGAGGCCGGCGAAGGGACGGCACCGGAACGCUGGCGCUCUAUUACAGUUUCCAGCCCGGCACACAGCGAGCGUACGCUCGGCUCACAAAGCGUGAUCAAGUCCUCGGGUAGCACCUCAGGUAUCCCGCCCACGCGAGUGCUAACAACCUUCAAACAAUCAACAAUGAACUGAAUGAUAUUUCACAUGUACAUGUAUUCCCUGUUGUCAGUAAAUGUGACCCAGCACAAUAAAUGAUGUUUCAUUCCCGAGAAAUAUUGGCCUUUAAGAGGUGUGCGCUUUUUGGUUUUCCGAAAUUGUAAGAAAAUGGUGCUUAUACAACCUGUUAUCACAUCCAUUAUCACUCCACAAUGGCGUACCGCACGCAUGCUAUUUUAAGACCAUGAGGUCGCAUCGUAAAGCGGAAGUAAAGCCGAAGUGGGACAUUAUAGACUCGCCCUCGCAUAGAAACAAUGUAAUUUGUGCUACUUUUCUCCGGUAAUCUUUCAAAAAUGAACAUGCCGAUCACCCAUUGCUUUUUUUGGAACUUGUAGAAACGACUCUAGACAUUAUGACAUAUGAAGGAUGGUUUCUUCAUACGUUUCCGGAAACCAAAAACUCGGGAGGAAAAAAUGUGAAGACCGAAUCAACUUGCGCAGACUUUUAACACCAGUUCGGUGAAUCCAUUCACAUUUCAUGUGCAGUAAACAUU